UACGGGGGGGGCAAGCGUUGUUCGGAAUUACUGGGCGUAAAGGGCUCGUAGGCGGCCAACUAAGUCAGACGUGAAAUCCCUCGGCUUAACCGGGGAACUGCGUCUGAUACUGGAUGGCUUGAGUUUGGGAGAGGGAUGCGGAAUUCCAGGUGUAGCGGUGAAAUGCGCAGAUAUCGGGAGGAACACCGGUGGCGAAGGCGGUUCUCUGGGCCUGUACUGACGCUGAGGAGCGAAAGCCAGGGGAGCAAACGGG
rnacentral:rRNA from 1 species